AACGUAGGUUCCGAGCGUUAUCCGGAUUUACUGGGCGUAAAGCGCGUUCAGGCGGUUUGGCAAGUCGGGCAUGAAAUCUCUCGGCUCAACCGGGAGAGGUUGUCCGAUACUUCCAGACUUGAGGGCAGUAGAGGGUGGUGGAAUUCCGGGUGUAGUGGUGAAAUGCGUAGAUAUCCGGAGGAACACCAGUGGCGAAAGCGGCCACCUGGACCGACAUUGACGCUGAAGCGCGAAAGCUAGGGGAGCAAACGGGG
rnacentral:rRNA from 1 species